UACAGAGACUGCAAGCGUUAUUCGGAUUCACGUGGCGUAAAGGGUGCGCAGGCGGUUGGGUGUGUCAGAUGUGAAAUCCCGAGGCUCAACCUCGGAACUGCGUCUGAAACUACUCGACUAGAGUACUGGAGAGGGAAACGGAAUUCACGGUGUAGCAGUGAAAUGCGUAGAUAUCGUGAGGAACACCAGAGGCGAAGGCGGUUUCCUGGACAGUUACUGACGCUCAGGCACGAAAGCAUGGGGAGCAAAAGGG
rnacentral:rRNA from 1 species